rnacentral:tRNA from 1 species
UGGGAUGUGGCUCAAUGGUAGAGUCUUUGCUUUGCAUGCAAAAGGCCCCAGGUUCAAUACGUAGCAUCUCCA